UUUGCCUACGGGACGCAGCAGUGGGGAAUAUUGCACAAUGGGGGGAACCCUGAUGCAGCGACGCCGCGUGGGUGAAGAAGUCAUUCGUGACGUAAAGCCCUAUCAGCAGGGAAGAAAAUGACGGUACCUGACUAAGAAGCCCCGGCUAACUACGUGCCAGCAGCCGCGGUAAUACGUAGGGGGCAAGCGUUAUCCGGAUUUACUGGGUGUAAAGGGAGCGUAGACGGCGGCGCAAGUCCGGAGUGAAAGCCCACGGCCCAACCGUGGGACUGCUCUGGAAACUGCCAGGCUGGAGUGCAGGAGCG
rnacentral:rRNA from 1 species